CCUACGGGGGGCAGCAGUGGGGAAUAUUGGACAAUGGGGGCAACCCUGAUCCAGCCAUGCCGCGUGUGUGAAGAAGGCCCUCGGGUUGUAAAGCACUUUCAGUGAGGAAGAACGCCUGGUGGUUAAUACCCAUCAGGAAAGACAUCACUCACAGAAGAAGCACCGGCUAACUCCGUGCCAGCAGCCGCGGUAAUACGGAGGGUGCAAGCGUUAAUCGGAAUUACUGGGCGUAAAGCGCGCGUAGGUGGCUUGAUAAGCCGGUUGUGAAAGCCCCGGGCUCAACCUGGGAACGGCAUCCGGAACUGUCAAGCUAGAGUGCAGGAGAGGAAGGUAGAAUUCCCGGUGUAGCGGUGAAAUGCGUAGAGAUCGGGAGGAAUACCAGUGGCGAAGGCGGCCUUCUGGACUGACACUGACACUGAGGUGCGAAAGCGUGGGUAGCAAACAGGAUUAGAUACCCGGGUAGUC
rnacentral:rRNA from 1 species